GACGAACGCUGGCGGCGUGCUUAACACAUGCAAGUCGAGCGGUAAGGCCCUUUCGGGGGUACACGAGCGGCGAACGGGUGAGUAACACGUGGGUGACCUGCCCUCAGCUCUGGGAUAAGCCUGGGAAACUGGGUCUAAUACUGGAUAUGACUCCACGGUGCAUGUCGUGGGGUGGAAAGCCUUGUGCGGCUGAGGAUGGGCCCGCGGCCUAUCAGCUUGUUGGUGGGGUGANGGCCUACCAAGGCGACGACGGGUAGCCGGCCUGAGAGGGCGACCGGCCACACUGGGACUGAGACACGGCCCAGACUCCUACGGGAGGCAGCAGUGGGGAAUCUUGGACAAUGGGCGCAAGCCUGAUCCAGCCAUGCCGCGUGGCGGGAAGAA
rnacentral:rRNA from 1 species